AGAUAUUCCAACGGCCCAAGAAAAACAGUGUCCUUCAACUCACGGUAAAGGAAGUUACUCACGCGUAAGGGCAUCACAAAGUCCUACAGCCCAAUCAGUGCUUAUUUUAUAGGAACAAUUGGAAAAACUAUUACUGCUGAACUCUGCAGAGGAAAUACACAAUUACAACAUCAACAGGAGCAGUCCGAUUAGCGAAGGAGCAGCAGGGAGAGGCAAGACAUUCUGAAGAUGCUACAGAAGGACUAAGGCCUUCCUGCCAAGCUGGGGCCAGGAAGGGUUCUUAUCACUUUGCACUGAGCAGAAUACCAGAAGACGCCUGGGAUAUAAAGCAAGGCCUGGAAGAGCUGCACUGCUGGACCUCCGCAAUCUGCACAGGAGAAAUUCAGGAGCAGAAGUCCCAAGAGGCGCCCAUGUGUGGGAAGCAGGCAGGUGGCUGCAGCAGCUGCAUUUGGGGAGGCCCCAGCCCACCAGCACCACCGCCCUGACAUCGCUCAGCACCACAGCCCUGGGGAUGAUUUAACACUUGGCACGUGGGCUGUUCCAUUCACAUCCCAUUUGGGAAUCCGCUUAUUGUUUCUUGAAUUGCUCCCAGAUCUGCACAUAUGUAGCCUUCUCCUUUAGGGAGGAGCAGAGUUUCACACACAUACAAUGGAAAUUGCCAUUGCCUGUGGGUCUGCUGCAAAGCCAGUUUCUCACUCUGAGGCCUACACUAUGAGAAUCCAGUGCUUAUCUUGGCUCAGCUUAUUCAUCACCAUGGAUUACAUCACUCGAAUCGCAAUGCAUCAAAGUGUUCUCCCUACCUCACAAGGAACUGUGAAGCUUAAUUAAUUAAUAGAUGCAGAGGUAUUAUGCAUCAUUGCAAAAUGUUGUAAUUUAGAGCAUUUCAUCCAAUAAUUAAA